CCCGUUCGCUCUAUUUACAUGUCGUAACGACUCUCGGCAACGGAUAUCUAGGCUCUCGCAUCGAUGAAGAACGUAGCGAAAUGCGAUACUUGGUGUGAAUUGCAGAAUCCCGUGAACCAUCGAGUCUUUGAACGCAAGUUGCGCCCGAAGCCUUUAGGCCGA
rnacentral:rRNA from 1 species